rnacentral:misc_RNA from 1 species
ACCAUUUCUCAGUUCAUUCAUUAUCUUGCAAGUUUCUUCAUUAGCAAUCUCCUUAGUUACUUCCAGUUUUUCGUUGUUCCCCUCAUUUUUGCCAGCUAAUUGAGUUGCUCCAAGGCUCUCAUCAUCACCCAGCUUAUAUGCCUGAUUCAAUACACUCUGAUCCUCUGCCAUUUUGUUUAGUGCCUUUCGCUUUCCACUCUCUCCAACAUCUAUGAGUUUUGCCUCUGUCUCAUCCCACUUACAUGACACUUGAGAAGAGGUCCCAAUCUCUUCCGCCCCACAGCCCUCAUAUAGUGCUGUUUCACUUCCUUCGGCUUCCUGGGCCCAUCUUGAGGUCAUGCAUUCUUGUUGCUCGCAUACCCCUUCUAGUCUCUUUCCAACUUCUCUUUCACCGGCCUCUUGUUCAAUUUUUUCUUUGUCAUAAGUCUCUUUGCAUCUCUUUUUACUUUCCACUUUUUCUUGAGCCUCUCUCUUCUCAUUUUCCUCUCUUUCAUAUGCCUUUCUUUGUCUCCUCUCAUUCUCUUCACACUCAACAGCUGCUUUUAGUCCCCUCUCAUUCUCUUCCUUCUCAAGAGUCUCUUUUAGUCUCUUCUCAUUUUCUUCUCUUUCAUAAGCCUUUCUUUCCCUCUUCGCAUUCUCUUCCUGUUCAACAGCCUCUCUUAGCCUUCUCUGCCUCUCUUCCUUCUCAACAGUUUCUUUCAGUUUCCUUUCAUUCUCUUCGUUCUCCUCAUUCUCCUGAGCCUCUUUCAAUCUCUUCUCAUUUUCUUCACUUUCAUGAGCCUCUCUUUGUCUCUUCUCAUUUUCUUCUCUUUCAUGAAUCUCUCUUUGUAUCUUGUUAUUCUCUUCCCAUUCAACAGCCUCUCUUUGUCUUCUCAAUCUCUCUUCCUUCUCAUAAGUCUCCCUCAGUCUCCUCUUCUCUUCCUGCUCAAGAGCCUCUUUCAGUCUCCUCUUUUUUUCUUCCCGCCUAAGUGUCUCCCUUAGUCUCUUCUCAUGUUCUUCUCUUUCAUAAGCUUCUCUCCGUAUCUUCUCAUUUUCUUCCCACUCAUGAACCGCCUUUAUCAUCUUCUCUUUUUCUUCCUGCUCAAGUGCCUUCUUCAGCCUUCUAUCAUUAUUUGCUAGUUCAAGAGGCACAUUAAGUUUUUUCUCAUUUUCUUCAAGCUCAAAAGCCUUUAUUUCUCUCCUUUCACAUUCAUCCUUUUCACCAGUGAAUUUUUUCACAUCCUCCACACUUUUAUUAUCCUCUUUUAGCUGUGAUCCUUUCUCCUUGUGCUUCAUAGACAGCCUAGCUGCAAUUUUAUUUUCUCUCUG